AAGUCGUAACAAGGUUUCCGUAGGUGAACUAUCCAACGUUAAGCAACCCUGUGAACCUUGAACGUGCUCCUGCAGCCCCAUGAAAUCAGCAAUCCCUGGUAAAUCAUUGUUGACCAGCUUUUGAGUCAGGGAUCUCUGCGCUGUUCAGUACCGAGCGCAGUGUAAGCGACCUGGCAUCCCUAAGCGAUCAGUGUCUGAAAGUGUCAUUGAUUGUGGAUGGCGCACACGGCUGGCAACCGGGUCCCAGGGCUCACGCCCGUUUAUCACCCCACAGCUUCCGACUGGGCAGCCGAUCAUACGGACGGACGGUAAAAAACUGAACAACUGUUAACAAUGGAUAUCUUGGUUCUC
rnacentral:misc_RNA from 1 species